CAGCAGCCGCGGUAAUGCGGAGGGUGCAAGCGUUACUCGGAAUCACUGGGCGUAAAGGACGCGUAGGCGGAUUAUCAAGUCUCUUGUGAAAUCUAACGGCUCAACCGUUAAACUGCUUGGGAAACUGAUAAUCUAGAGUAAGGGAGAGGCAGAUGGAAUUCUUGGUGUAGGGGUAAAAUCCGUAGAUAUCAAGAAGAAUACCUAUUGCGAAGGCGAUCUGCUGGAACUUAACUGACGUUAAUGCGUGAAAGCGUGGGGAGCAAACAGGAUUAGAUACCCCGGUAGUCCCUGUCUCUUAUAC
rnacentral:rRNA from 1 species